rnacentral:rRNA from 1 species
UGGCUGCAGUCGAGGAUCUUCGGCAAUGGGCGAAAGCCUGACCGAGCGACGCCGCGUGGACGAUGAAGGCCUUCGGGUUGUAAAGUCCUGUCGAGGGGGAUCAAGGCGCAAGCUUGAGUGAUCCCUGGAGGAAGCACGGGCUAAGUUCGUGCCAGCAGCCGCGGUAAGACGAACCGUGCAAACGUUAUUCGGAAUCACUGGGCAUAAAGGGCGCGUAGGCGGCUUCAUAAGUCAGGGGUGAAAUCCGGCAGCUCAACUGUCGCAGUGCCUUUGAUACUGUGAAGCUCGAGGGAUGUAGGGGUCUGUGGAACUUCCGGUGGAGCGGUGAAAUGCGUUGAUAUCGGAAGGAACGCCGGUGGCGAAAGCGACGGACUGGACAUUUUCUGACGCUGAGGCGCGAAAGCCAGGGGAGCAAACGGGAUUAGAUACCCCGGUAGUCCUGGCCCUAAACGAUGGGUACUAGAUUGCGGACUUACAUGGGUUCGCAGUCGAAGCUAAUGUUUUAAGUACCCCGCCUGGGGAGUAUGGUCGCAAGGCUGAAACUCAAAGGAAUUGACGGGGGCUCACACAA